CGAGGCAUGUUUAAUCGCCCUAGAAGGCUGACUAAAUACCCUAAAACACGGAAAGUAACCUCUAAUUCAACAGUUUUGCUUUGAAAUCAGUUUCAGAGCUGUACACAUUGGACUGCUGGUAUGGAACAAACUAUAAAUAUAAAAUU